rnacentral:rRNA from 1 species
CACGUGUAGCGGUGAAAUGCGUAGAGAUGUGGAGGAACACCAGUGGCGAAGGCGACUCUCUGGUCUGUAACUGACGCUGAGGAGCGAAAGCGUGGGGAGCGAACAGGAUUAGAUACCCUGGUAGUCCACGCCGUAAACGAUGAGUGCUAAGUGUUAGGGGGUUUCCGCCCCUUAGUGCUGCAGCUAACGCAUUAAGCACUCCGCCUGGGGAGUACGGUCGCAAGACUGAAACUCAAAGGAAUUGACGGGGGCCCGCACAAGCGGUGGAGCAUGUGGUUUAAUUCGAAGCAACGCGAAGAACCUUACCAGGUCUUGACAUCCUCUGACAACUCUAGAGAUAGGGCUUUCCCUUCGGGGACAGAGUGACACGUGGUGCAUGGUUGUCGUCAGCUCGUGUCGUGAGAUGUUGUGUUAAGUCCCGCAACGAGCGCAACCCUUGAUCUUAUUUGCCAGCAUUUAGUUGUGCACUCUAAGGUGACUGCCGGUGACAAACCGGAGGAAAGUGGGGAUGACAUCUCAUCAUCAUGCGCCUUAUGACCUGUGCUACACACGUGCUACAAUGGACAGAACAA